AUAAUAAAGUCAAAAAUAAGAGGAAAAGAUCAAAGAGAGAAGAGGAAUAGGAAUUUAAAAUCAAUACAGAAAUGUUCUAAUAAAUAUAAGUUUAUAAAGCAUGUGACUGUUAGUAGGAUCCAAACUUUACAAGUGGAAUGUAGCAAAUAAUUCAACGAUUACAGGUCCCAGGAAAUGAAGAUGGUGUAACUGCUUUUCAAAUGGACAUUAAGGUGGCUGGAAUUACUUUCCCUACCAAGCAAAGGAUGGCCGGAAGCAUAUCCUUGCUGAAAUGUUGAAGUGCUCACCUCCUCCGUCCAGAGCGCUUUCAAAGCAUGCACCCCUGAUUCAUGUCAUGAAGGUC